GGAGACCCGCAGGGCAUGCAGGGCUGGGCUUCCACACUGCCACUCGGAUUGCUGACUUAUAAGCAUGCGUAUCAGUGACCCAGCAGAGUUGGAUAACGACCAGACAGUCCUCAGGCAGGGACCAUCCCAGGUGUUUCACUCAAGGACACAAAUGAAAUGGCGUGAAGGUCCCUUUCAACUGAGAAGCCUGUCCCGGUUUGGUGCCCUUCACUGGAAGAGAGUCACCAGUGGCCAGUUCCUGCGCUCCCCCCUGGCUGGGGGGGGAUCCAAACAGACCGUAAAAGGUCGUCACCAAGCUCCCUGCAUGGAUUAGCAGCUCCGAAGGACAACACGCCUCUCUAAGUCGUCCUGUAAAGUGACCUCUAAGUGUGACUCGUCACGCCAUCCCAGGCUCUUUUACCCUCUGAGGGGUGGAGGGGCAGCUUUGCCUGAUGCACUGCGGGUGUGAGCUCCCGGAUAAUCCAGAACAUGUUCUGAACUGUAACUCUGGUUCCAGCCAAGUCAUGGUCACGCAGGGCCUGCCAGACCAGAAGCCUGCAUGCCCUGGGGGGAUGAACAGUCAGUACGCCCGCCGGGAGAUCUUCUGCCGGAACACCUGUCACGAGCUCAAGCGCUUCUGGGAACGGGAGAUUGGCAAGCAGACCUACUACCGGGAAUCCGAGGAGUAUCGCCUGGGACGGAGUGCCCUGAGAAAGCUCAGAGAGGAAUGGAGGCAGAGACUGGAAGCAAAGCUGAGGCUGCGGAACAAUCCAGAUGAGACAGAAAAGCGGGCAAACAUGGGCCGGGAGCUUCUCACUUCGCUGACACAAGAGGAUUCAAAGCACUAA
rnacentral:lncRNA from 1 species